rnacentral:rRNA from 1 species
AUUGAACGCUGGCGGCAUGCCUUACACAUGCAAGUCGAACGGCAGCGGGCCUUCGGGUGCCGGCGAGUGGCGAACGGGUGAGUAAUGCAUCGGAACGUGCCAUUGAGUGGGGGGAUAACGUAGCGAAAGUUACGCUAAUACCGCAUAUUCUGUGAGCAGGAAAGCAGGGGACCGCAAGGCCUUGCGCUCUUUGAGCGGCCGAUGUCAGAUUAGCUAGUUGGUGAGGUAAAGGCUUACCAAGGCGACGAUCUGUAGCGGGUCUGAGAGGAUGAUCCGCCACACUGGAACUGAAACACGGUCCAGACUCCUACGGGAGGCAGCAGUGGGGAAUUUUGGACAAUGGGCGCAAGCCUGAUCCAGCCAUGCCGCGUGAGUGAAGAAGGCCUCGGUUGUAAG